rnacentral:SRP_RNA from 2 species
GCUGGGCGUGGUUGUGUGCGCCUGUAAUCCCAGCUACUCAGGAGGCUGAGGCAGGAGAAUCGCUUGAACCCGGGAAGCAGAGGUUGCAGUGAGCUGAGAUCUUGCCACUGCACUUCAGCCUGGGCGACAGAGCGAGACUCCGUCUCAA